GCUUGUGCAAAAGAUGUCACCUGGAAAUGGGUGUUCAUCAAGCUCCAUGUACAUUAAUUAUCAGCAACCCAGCUACAAACAUUAAACGAUCCACCGUAAAAAUUCUCCUCAACACAUAGCUUUCUGUUAUCUCAGCUGUUAUCUCACUUGUUAUCAUACCUUGUUAUCUUACUCCUCGAGAGAAAAACUACUGUAGGCCAACAAAGUCUGGC